rnacentral:rRNA from 1 species
AACGAACGCUGGCGGCAGGCUUAACACAUGCAAGUCGAACGCCAGCACGGACUUCGGUCUGGUGGCGAGUGGCGAACGGGUGAGUAAUGUAUCGGAACGUGCCCAGUCGUGGGGGAUAACGUAGUGAAAAUUACGCUAAUACCGCAUACGAUCUAUGGAUGAAAGCGGGGGAUCGCAAGACCUCGCGCGAUUGGAGCGGCCGAUAUCAGAUUAGGUAGUUGGUGGGGUAAAGGCCCACCAAGCCAACGAUCUGUAGCUGGUCUGAGAGGACGACGAGCCACACGGGAACUGGGACACGGGACAGACUCCUACGGGAGGCAGCAGUGGGGAAUUUUGGACAAUGGGCGAAGGCCUGAUCCAGCCAUUCCGCGUGCAGGAUGAAGGCCCUCGGGUUGUAAACUGCUUUUGUACAGAACGAAAAGGUUUCUACUAAUACUAGGAGCUCAUGACGGUACUGUAAGAAUAAGCACCGGCUAACUACGUGCCAGCCGCCGCGGUAA